rnacentral:rRNA from 1 species
CACGUAGGGUGCGAGCGUUUGUCCGGAAUUAUUGGGCGUAAAGAGCUCGUAGGCGGUGUGUCGCGUCGGCCGUGAAAACCUGCAGCUUAACUGUGGGCUUGCGGUCGAUACGGGCAUCACUGGAGUUCGGCAGGGGAGACUGGAAUUCCUGGUGUAGCGGUGAAAUGCGCAGAUAUCAGGAGGAAUACCGAUGGCGAAGGCGGGUCUCUGGGCCGAUGACUGACGUGAGGAGCGAAAGCAUGGGUAGCGAACAGG